AGUAAAGGAAAUAUCCAGAGAAGAGGUGCUUGGAAGAAGGCUAUGGUCUGGUGUCUCACGUGAGUACAUUCCAGCCGAUACCAGUUUUCCUAGGUGGCUGUGAUGCUUCGGAAUUAAGAUCCAGAGAUCAGGAGAUGCAGGCUUAAAGGCUGGGAGAGUGAUGUUGACCUCCGGGCCCCACUGGGAAGAGUCCCUGGCAGGCUACGGUGUUCUACUGGAGGCUGUCCAAUCUGAGCAGGUGCUGUCAGUUUUUAUGGGAGAUGAGAUGUACAGACCACAGUUCUGAUAUAAAGAAGAUUCUCUUCCGGGGGAGAAGGGAAGACGUAUCCAUCAUUAAACCGGGUGGUACACAAUCAUUCAGCCUCAAAUAAAUCCUCCUUUAUAUGUAUACAUCUAUCUUCCGACUGGGAAGCCAGGACUAUAGUGGAUCUCGAGACGCCCAUGGAAGGACGCCUGCAUCAGUCACCCAGGCCCAGGCACAGAGAUACCCACUGGCUGCCAGAACACUUCAUUCCAUACGUUACUGACAACAAAGAGACGCUUAGAAUUCCUGAACUAACUGUGUCCAUCUGGUAGCAUGGACCCACACAGCUGCAGAUAUACUGGAAUUCGGCUCCGCUAGAAGCAGCUAGAGGAUGCGGCCUUCUGCACUUGGCCCCCAAGUGCUAAUUUAGAGAACAGCAGCUCUGCGGGAGCGUCUAAAUCCUUAAGGCAGAAAAACGGAUCAACUCAGCUCAAAUCUGUGACAACAGCCUGUGAAAAGAAAGGCUCUUGCCCUUUAGGACUUUCCUCUAUCGCGGUGUCUCCGACAGCACAGGAGGCAGAGCCGAUGGGCGCCGGCCUCAGAGCUCUGGGGAGGUGCCACUGUGCCCAGAAGCCAGAGGUGUAAGGAGAAAAGGCACUCGGGGACAGACUGUAGGUUUCCUUCACAUGAAACUUCGUGGUACUAUGAUGUCUGAGCUAAGAAGAGACUAAGCAGCUUCACGAGUUCAUUGGCUCCUACGCCUUGGCCUUUUGACGGCAUGGCCUGCUGGGCCUCGGACUUCAGGCCUACAGUGGUAGGCAAGGCCAAGCCCGUGUGUGUCCCUGAGGGCAGGAGGGCUCAGACUGCUAAUACAGAACCAUCUACUCAUUUCCUAGACUGGGUUGUUUCUCAUCUUCCGGCCUUAAUUUUAUGAAAACGUUUAUUCCUACUUAUGGAAUUACUUGUCUAGGAUUAAAAAGUAACCACACAUUUAGGGUAAUAAUAUUGACAGUCUGUGAGUCUUUAAACUUCCAAGUUAACUUAUAUUACAAAUAUUAGUUCUAAGUAGUUAAAAUGUUAUAUAGUUUAUUUCUAGGCACUAACAAACAAAUGUGGCUGGCAGCACGAUAAGUUUUACCAGCAUCCACUAUAUGAACCAGCUCUGGCAAGGCUGGAGUACCAAUCUUUUGUCGUAAUGCAAGGGGACGGGGGUGGAGGGCGGAGGGAAUCCAAGUUGCUCACAGGAAGUACUGUGGACACUGGAAAAGCAGAGGAAGUGGUUUGUUUAUCUUGCUUUUUCUUUGCAACAGCGUGGUGUCAUCCAACAAAACUGAAUAAAGGACUAGGUUAGUCAUUUAUUAUCUGUGUGGCUUUAGGCAGACCAAGCAAUUUCUUUAAACUUCAUUGGCAAAAUGCUAAAAUAGUAUGUAUCAAUAUCAGUUCCAGAGUAUAGUUAUCCAGCUCAAAUUAGCCCAAGUAUAGGAAAUACUGUGUCAAUUAGAAAGUCCUAAAGAAAUACCAAUCGCUGUUACUGAUAUUAUUAUUUGAACGCCAGUGUACAUUCUGGAGGAGUUUCGAUAGCAUUUUAACGAACCUACGCAGGCCUUCAUUCAUUCAUUUACCGAACAUUUCCUGAGUGCCUACGAGGACCCAGGCACUGUCCCAACCCCUGGAAAUAAAUACAAUAAACACAUCACCGAACAGAAACAAGCUUAUGCCGUCAAGAGGCAGUGGGAUAGCAAAUAGGGACGCGAUCAACAGAUGAGGUCAGGCAGUGGUACAGGCCACGUAAGAACUGAAGCAGAGUUCUGGAAAGAGAAAGGGCUCUCUGAGGAGGCUUUGAAGAUUUUUCUUUUUUUUUUAUUUGACAGAUAGAGAUCACAGGUAGGCAGCGAGGCAGGCAGAGAGAGAGAGGAGGAAGCGGGCUCCCUGCCUAGCAGAGAGCCCUCUGAGGAGGCUUUGAAGCAGAAACUUCAAGUGACACGAGGAAGCAAGCCAUGUGGGAACGGGAACGCGUGUGCCUGGCGAGUCUGAGAGACGUCAAGGAUGCCUCUGUGACCUCAGAACCUGUGUCUACAGCAGCAGGAAGUGAUGUGAAAGAGGCGGCCAGUCACCGCUGGGCCUUGUUGGCCACCAUGAUAAUGGCUUUUUGAACUUUAUUCUAAGUGGAAAAGCAAGCCAUUGGAGGGUUUUAAAUAGGAUUCUAUUUGCUAUCUACUCACUAUUUACUAAGUCCUGCUACAUGCCAGAUACUACGCUAGGCUCUAGACAACUGUGAAAAAACAUGCUUCAUCUAUAUUUUCUCUAAGCUCAGUCU